rnacentral:rRNA from 1 species
CGGCGGACGGGUGAGUAAUGCCUAGGAAUCUGCCUGGUAGUGGGGGACAACGUUUCGAAAGGAACGCUAAUACCGCAUACGUCCUACGGGAGAAAGCAGGGGACCUUCGGGCCUUGCGCUAUCAGAUGAGCCUAGGUCGGAUUAGCUAGUUGGUGAGGUAAUGGCUCACCAAGGCCACGAUCCGUAACUGGUCUGAGAGGAUGAUCAGUCACACUGGAACUGAGACACGGUCCAGACUCCUACGGGAGGCAGCAGUGGGGAAUAUUGGACAAUGGGCGAAAGCCUGAUCCAGCCAUGCCGCGUGUGUGAAGAAGGUCUUCGGAUUGUAAAGCACUUUAAGUUGGGAGGAAGGGCAUUAACCUAAUACGUUAGUGUUUUGACGUUACCGACAGAAUAAGCACCGGCUAACUCUGUGCCAGCAGCCGCGGUAAUACAGAGGGUGCAAGCGUUAAUCGGAAUUACUGGGCGUAAAGCGCGCGUAGGUGGUUCGUUAAGUUGGAUGUGAAAUCCCCGGGCUCAACCUGGGAACUGCAUCCAAAACUGGCGAGCUAGAGUAGGGUAGAGGGUGGUGGAAUUUCCUGUGUAGCGGUGAAAUGCGUAGAUAUAGGAAGGAACACCAGUGGCGAAGGCGACCACCUGGACUCAUACUGACACUGAGGUGCGAAAGCGAAGCGUGGGGAUCAAACAGGAUUAGAUACCCUGGUAGU